rnacentral:rRNA from 1 species
UACGAAGGGUGCAAACGUUGCUCGGAAUUACUGGGCGUAAAGCGCACGUAGGCGGCUUUGUAAGUUAGAGGUGAAAGCCCAGGGCUUAACCCUGGAAUUGCCUUUAAGACUGCAUCGCUAGAAUUGUGGAGAGGUAAGUGGAAUUCCGAGUGUAGAGGUGAAAUUCGUAGAUAUUCGGAAGAACACCAGUGGCGAAGGCGACUUACUGGACACAUAUUGACGCUGAGGUGCGAAAGCGUGGGGAGCAAACAGG